AGCGUAGGCGGAUUUUUAAGUGAGAUGUGAAAUACUCGGGCUUAACCUGAGUGCUGCAUUUCAAACUGGAAGUCUAGAGUGCAGGAGAGGAGAAGGGAAUUCCUAGUGUAGCGGUGAAAUGCGUAGAGAUUAGGAAGAACACCAGUGGCGAAGGCGCUUCUCUGGACUGUAACUGACGUUGAGGCUGAAAGCGUGGGGAGCAAACA
rnacentral:rRNA from 1 species